CGUAGGCGGCUCUUUAAGUCAGGCGUGAAAGCCCGGGGCUCAACCCCGGAAGUGCGUUUGAAACUAAGGAGCUUGAGUACGGGAGAGGGAAGUGGAAUUCCUGGUGUAGAGGUGAAAUUCGUAGAUAUCAGGAGGAACACCGGUGGCGAAGGCGACUUCCUGGACCGAUACUGACGCUGAGGCGCGAAAGCGUGGGGAGCAAACA
rnacentral:rRNA from 1 species